AGUGAACGCUGGCGGUAGGCCUAUCACAUGCAAGUCGAACGGCAGCACAGUAAGAGCUUGCUCUUACGGGUGGCGAGUGGCGGACGGGUGAGGUAUACAUCGGAAUCUACUUUUUCGUGGGGGAUAACGUAGGGAAACUUACGCUAAUACCGCAUACGACCUACGGGUGAAAGCAGGGGAUCUUCGGACCUUGCGCGAUUGAAUGAGCCGAUGUCGGAUUAGCUAGUUGGCGGGGUAAAGGCCCACCAAGGCGACGAUCCGUAGCUGGUCUGAGAGGAUGGUCAGACACACUGGAACUGAGACACGGUCCAGACUCCUACGGGAGGCAGCAGUGGGGAAUAUUGGACAAUGGGCGCAAGCCUGAUCCAGCCAUACCGCGUGGGUGAAGAAGGCCUUCGGGUUGGAAAGCCCUUUUGUUGGGAAAGAAAAGCAGCAGGUUAAUACCCCGCUGUUCUGACGGUACCCAAAGAAUAAGCACCGGCUAACUUCGUG
rnacentral:rRNA from 1 species